CCCUUAGAUGUUCUGGGCCGCACGCGCGCUACACUGAUGCAUUCAACGAGUUUCUUCCUGGUCCGAGAGGAAUGGGUAACCUUUUGAAAGUGCAUCGUGAUAGGGAUAGACUAUUGCAAUUAUUGGUCUUCAACGAGGAAUUCCUAGUAGACGUAGUUCAUCAGACUGCAUCGAUUACGUCCCUGCCCUUUGUACACACCGCCCGUCGCUCCUACCGAUUGAGUGGUCCGGUGAGGCUUUGGGAUCUGAGCAAAAAGAGCGUUUCGCUCGUUUGGCUCGGAAAACUCAGUCGAACCUUAUCAUUUAGAGGAAGGAGAAGUCGUAACA
rnacentral:rRNA from 1 species